AUGGGUGGGGCAGGGGGGUCCUGGCCUGGGUCCAUGCUCCGGAGGCCCCUCCUCCCCACAGGCCGAGGGGUGCCCAGUUGGGGCCCUGGCCCCUCUUUCCAACCCUCUGCCCGACCAUAUUCUGGUCUGACCCUGGGCCCCUCUGGCAUCUGUCCCCUCUCCCAGAGGCAGGCGGGUGGGUGCGGAUGUGCCAGCAGGUGUAAGUGCCCUGGGGUGGGAGCUGGCAGGGCCGGGGCAGGAGGCCUGCGGGGAGGAGCUGCACCCGCACCCCUGCUUCCAACCCCUGAGUCCCCACACGGAAGCCCAGGGUGGUUUGGGGCUCUCCUGGCUGGAGAGGUCAGCCCUGGAAACUGCCCCUGCACCUGGCCUCCUGACCGAGGUGCUCAUGGGCACCAGGGAGGGGGCUGGGCUCUCUGCAGGCCAUGUGGAAGCCAGACGGGGUGUUUGUGGGGUGAGUCCACGGGCAGUGGCCAGCGGGCAGAGUGCCUGAUUGCAUGUCUUGGGGACCCUGGAGGACAUGUACCGGGGUGUUGGGAAGCCAGCUGCUAUCCUGGGGGCUGUGGAGUCAGGCGGGUGGGGAAGGGAUGGGGUUGCACCUGCAGACGGAGGGAGGUGGCGGGGGGACCCCAAGCCCUGAGCAUCGUGCGGCAGCGUCUGCAGCAUUGGAGACGGGACACUGGAGAUCGCCAGGUGGGAGGGAGGAGGCUCUUCGGGCCUCAGGUCUGGGGGGCCAGGGCCACCCGUGCCUGCUCUCACCUGCUGGGCCCCGAUGGCUCCUUCCCACCUCGCAGGGCCUUCCUCUCGGUCUCCAUCGCUGAGACGAGGGUGAGCCCACAGAGCCCCCUAUGGAUGGAGCCUCGGGGGAGCCCCACUGGCCGUGGCUCCUCGCGACCUCUCUGCCCCCGGGCCCCUGCUCCGGUGCACAGGCGCGCCCCCCCCCCCGCACGAAGGUGCUGCCCCCCUGCCAGUCCUCAGGGGCUCCCCCGACGCGCAGACGGCGUGAAGAUGUCCGUGUGA
rnacentral:lncRNA from 12 species